UCUGGGAGGGGUCAUCGAUCGCCCGGUAACCCUACUCCUCGCUGGCUGAUGUAACCAGCGGUUGAGGAGGGCGACGAGGGGGCCGUUGGCGGGGCUGGGGGACAGCGCAGCCGCAAAAGCCAUCCACCGGGAGGCCUCGCCCGAUCUGAGCCUGCGCACUAAAGCCCACGGGCCUCUUGAAAACCUCCCCUCCCGCGAUCAGAACCCAAUGCGCCUGCGUGUACCACCGCUCUCAAUUCUAUUAACCCACACACAGAAGAAACUGAGCUGGGUGUCCACCACGCCUCCGCGACCACUAGGCAAACCCUUCCAUGCACACUUCCAGCCCUUCUAUAUUUUCCCGGGGCUCGCGAAAGCCCGGCUCAUAAGAGAGCAUCCGCGCGCACGUACGGGAAGAGCGCGCGCGCGCUGGAGGUUACCGACCCGCAGUCCUUCCAGUUGUCCCUCCUUCCGUCCCCCCGCCCAGCCCGCUCCCUUCCUACUGGUCAGACUGGGAAGGGGGAGGUAGCAACCCGCUCCCAAGUCCCUCCCUCCCCAUUGGCCAAACUGUGGCCCGCGCGCCCCCCUCCAUUGGCUACGGCCGGAGACCCCUUCCAGCAGCUGACUCCCCAUUGGCUGAAGCGGGGGACCGCGAGACCCUUCGCGCUCUAGAGGCUGACGGCCGCGGUCGCCUCACAAUGAGCGUGUGAAGCGCUAGGGGAGGAGCCGAAGACGCAGAGAGGAAGGAAGAACCGGUCGCCCCGCCUACGCCGCCGGCGUAGCAUCGGGAUACCUCCGCAGUAGUGUGAGAUGUCCGGCCGUAUCGUGCAUUUCUUCCGCCAUUUGGGAGCCCGUGGGCGGAGUCUAAAUGCAAAAAAAUCCCGGGAUUAGAUUAGUGUUCGCGCCUCCCAACCUGGUGGUAUGUUUCCUGUGGGCCCUACUGUUGACGUUAUCUGCUUUGAAUAAAAUAAAAGACUGAUGGAGAUUAA